rnacentral:lncRNA from 1 species
GUGGCACAGAUGUAGCCAGGGCACAGACGGCUGCAUGGUACGGCACAGACGCAGUUGGGACACAGACAGUUACAAGUCGAGAAGUGGUACAAAGUUAGCUGGAAGACAAAUAGUUGCAGAUCGUGGGACAGAUGCAGUCGGAAAGUAGAUGAUUGCGGGCUACAGCACAGGCAUGACUGGAGACAAGCAGCUAUAGAGCUGCAGCACAGGCAUGACUGUAGAGAUAUAUGCGGCAUAGGUGCAAUUAGGGAGACAGGUAGCUAUGGAGUCACGAUAGCGGCAUAGCUUGAUACAGGUGGUUGUGGGAUAGACACGCAGCUGGACUAUGGGCAAAUAUGGGAUUUUGAGAUCCAGGUAGAGGCUGCGUAGUACCGAAAUCAAGGAGGAUAUCUUGAAAGAUGUAGGCUUCAAGUUCUUUUGGUAGCGGAGACACGCAGGGUGCAG